GAUGAACGCUGGCGGUAUGCUUAACACAUGCAAGUCGAACGGACUCUUCGGAGUUAGUGGCGGACGGGUGAGUAACGCGUGAGAAUCUGGCUUUGGGUUCGGGACAACCACUGGAAACGGUGGCUAAUACCGGAUGUGCCGAGAGGUAAAAGAGAAAUUGCCUGAAGAUGAGCUCGCGUCUGAUUAGCUAGUUGGUGAGGUGAAGGCUCACCAAGGCAGCGAUCAGUAGCUGGUCUGAGAGGAUGACCAGCCACACUGGGACUGAGACACGGCCCAGACUCCUACGGGAGGCAGCAGUGGGGAAUUUUCCGCAAUGGGCGAAAGCCUGACGGAGCAAUACCGCGUGAGGGAAGAAGGCUCUUGGGUUGUAAACCUCUUUUCUUAGGGAAGAACAAAAUGACGGUACCUAAGGAAUCAGCAUCGGCUAACUCCGUG
rnacentral:rRNA from 1 species